rnacentral:rRNA from 1 species
AAACUUAAAUGAAUUGACGGGGGCCCGCACAAGCAGCGGAGCGUGUGGUUUAAUUCGAUGCUACACGAAGAACCUUACCAGGCCUUGACAUGCUGGGAACCUAGGUGAAAGCCUGGGGUGCCCGCGAGGGAGCCCCAGCACAGGUGCUGCAUGGCCGUCGUCAGCUCGUGUCGUGAGAUGUUGGGUUAAGUCCCGCAACGAGCGCAACCCCUGCCCUUAGUUGCCAGCGGGUUGGGCCGGGCACUCUAAGGGGACUGCCUGCGAAAGCAGGAGGAAAGGCGGGGGACGACGUCUGGUCAUCAUGGCCCUUACGGCCUGGGCGACACACGUGCUACAAUGCCCACUACAGAGCGAGGCGACCCAGUGAUGGGGAGCGAAUCGCAAAAAGGUGGACGUAGUUCGGAUUGGGGUCUGCAACCCGACCCCAUGAAGCCGGAAUCGCUAGUAAUCGCGGAUCAGCCAUGCCGCGGUCGAAUACGUUCCCGGGCCUU